AGCCAGACUCCUACGGGAGGCAGCAGUGAGGGAUAUUGGUCAAUGGGGGAAACCCUGAACCAGCAACGCCGCGUGAGGGAAGACGGUUUUCGGAUUGUAAACCUCUGUCCUCUGUGAAGAUAAUGACGGUAGCAGAGGAGGAAGCUCCGGCUAACUACGUGCCAGCAGCCGCGGUAAUACGUAGGGAGCAAGCGUUGUCCGGAUUUACUGGGUGUAAAGGGGGCGCAGACGGCAGCGCAAGCCAGGAGUGAAAGCCCGGGGCCCAACCCCGGGACUGCUCUUGGAACUGCGCGGCUGGAGUGCAGGAGGGGCAGGCGGAAUUCCUGGUGUAGCGGUGAAAUGCGUAGAUAUCAGGAGGAACACCGGUGGCGAAGGCAGCGUACCGGCUCUACACUGACGCUGAGGCACGAAAGCGUGGGUAUCGAACAGGAUUAGAUACCCCGGUAACG
rnacentral:rRNA from 1 species